UAUAAUGGGUCAGCGACUUAUAUUCUGUAGCAAGGUUAACCGUAUAGGGGAGCCGCAGGGAAACCGAGUCUUAACUGGGCGUUAAGUUGCAGGGUAUAGACCCGAAACCCGGUGAUCUAGCCAUGGGCAGGUUGAAGGUUGGGUAACACUAACUGGAGGACCGAACCGACUAAUGUUGAAAAAUUAGCGGAUGACUUGUGGCUGGGGGUGAAAGGCCAAUCAAACCGGGAGAUAGCUGGUUCUCCCCGAAAGCUAUUUAGGUAGCGCCUCGUGAACUCAUCUUCGGGGGUAGAGCACUGUUUCGGCUAGGGGGUCAUCCCGACUUACCAACCCGAUGCAAACUACGAAUACCGAAGAAUGUUAUCACGGGAGACACACGGCGGGUGCUAACGUCCGUCGUGAAGAGGGAAACAACCCAGACCGCCAGCUAAGGUCCCAAAGUCAUGGUUAAGUGGGAAACGAUGUGGGAAGGCACAGACAGCCAGGAUGUUGGCUUAGAAGCAGCCAUCAUUUAAAGAAAGCGUAAUAGCUCACUGGUCGAGUCGGCCUGCGCGGAAGAUGUAACGGGGCUAAACCAUGCACCGAAGCUGCGGCAGCGACACGAUGUGUUGUUGGGUAGGGGAGCGUUCUGUAAGCCUGCGAAGGUGGCCUGUGAGGGUUGCUGGAGGUAUCAGAAGUGCGAAUGCUGACAUAAGUAACGAUAAAGCGGGUGAAAAGCCCGCUCGCCGGAAGACCAAGGGUUCCUGUCCAACGUUAAUCGGGGCAGGGUGAGUCGACCCCUAAGGCGAGGCCGAAAGGCGUAGUCGAUGGGAAACAGGUUAAUAUUCCUGUACUUGGUGUUACUGCGAAGGGGGGACGGAGAAGGCUAUGUUAGCCGGGCGACGGUUGUCCCGGUUUAAGCAUGUAGGCUGGUUAUCCAGGCAAAUCCGGAUAAUCAAGGCUGAGGUGUGAUGACGAGGCACUACGGUGCUGAAGUAACAAAUGCCCUGCUUCCAGGAAAAGCCUCUAAGCAUCAGGUAACAUCAAAUCGUACCCCAAACCGACACAGGUGGUCAGGUAGAGAAUACCAAGGCGCUUGAGAGAACUCGGGUGAAGGAACUAGGCAAAAUGGUGCCGUAACUUCGGGAGAAGGCACGCUGGUGUGUAGGUGAAGUCCCUGCGG
rnacentral:rRNA from 1 species